GAUGAACGCUGGCGGCGUGCCUAAUACAUGCAAGUCGAGCGAACAGAUGAGGAGCUUGCUCCUCUGACGUUAGCGGCGGACGGGUGAGUAACACGUGGAUAACCUACCUAUAUGACUGGGAUAACUUCGGGACACCGGAGCUAAUACCGGAUAAUAUACUGAACCGCAGGGUUCGAUAGUGAAAGACGGUUUUGCUGUCACGUCUAGCUGGAUCCGCGCCGCAUUGGCUGGUUGGUAGGGUAUCGGCUUACCAAGGCAACGAUGCGUAGCCGACGUGAGAGGGGGAUCGGCGACUGUGAAGGUGAGACACGAUCCAGAGUCCGACGUGAGGCAGCGGUAGGGAAGGGACCGCAAAGGGCGAAAGCCUGACGGAGCAACGGCGCGUGGAUGAAGAAGGGCUGCGUGUCGGAAAACUCUGUUAUGAGGGAAGAACAAAUGUGUAUGUAACUAUGCGCGUGUGAAGGGUACCGAAACAGAAGGCCACGGCUAACUACGU
rnacentral:rRNA from 1 species